CAAUGGCAAUUGUAAAUUGUUAAUUUGAAAAAGUUCAUGAAUAUUGCUAGCAUCAAAAAUUAUAAACUUCUAUUGUCAUGAUUGAUUGAAAGUGUUUCAACAUAGACUCAAAGUUAAUGGUCCAUGUUUGUCCCUACGCUUCAUCCUGGAAGGGUGUCAACUUACUGAAAGAAGGGACUGCACUCGUUUUGUCUGGAUCUUGCGAUGGGGUCGUACAGUUUCAUCACCCUGCACCCAGAAUAUCCUUAGAACAUCAGACAUCUCAGUCGUCAUGGCUUCAUAGUUGAAAGUAUUGCCUACGAUAAAAAAAACUUGAAGAAUUAAAACCUCCAACUUGUACAAACAUCCAGCCCUAAUUCCGUACAGUGCAAUCAGAAAAAACGCACCACAAGAACAAGGAACUAGCUACACUAGACACGCUACCCACUCUUUUAGCAGUAUGCAGGAGGGAAUAUUCAUUUCAUGAAGAACUUGAAGGCGAUGACAUACUUUAACACCGUCAAUCUUAAGUUGUAAUUGAGUCAGAAGUUCCAUCAAUCGUGCAAGUUCCUGCACAACAAGUGUUCAUGCACCUGAAUGUUACAUUCCUUCCGCUUUCAUCCGAGUAUAACAAAUCACAGACAAACGACACUCGUUUUACAAGGAAUAAAAACCGGCUUUCCAAUUCUUGUUACGCUAGAACUGAAAUUGAAAGACAAUGUUAAACCCUGUUCUAAUAUUCACAACCACGUUCGUACACAGUAAGAGAAAGAGAAGAUUAAAGAAGCAAAAAAUACACGCGGUCAGGGUUCUACCUUUUGCUGGGUGGGACUCAAUUCGAUGCUUGAACCAGCGCUGCUUAAAAAAACAUAACAUUCCUCGCCAAGUUUAUCCACCUGUAAAAAAAAGUAGUUAAUACAAUUGCGUAUGCAGCAGAAUGAACUAUCGUUGUGAAUUAACUGAUAAGUAGUGGGUUAUGCUGGAUUACACCAACUCGUCAACAUCAGGCGGAUCAUCCGGAUUAUCCACUCUUCAACCUCGGCAUUCAUGCUCUAAAUAUGCCAACGUGACCUCCACAUUUUCAGAACCUUUCAAUAGACAGUUGGAGGCAUAUGUCAAGCCAAUAAUGAUCAAGAUCUUGAAAGGUCUACGAACGGCAUGCUAACCUUGCGUGCAAGCAUGAGAAUGGAGCCCAAGGGCGUGAGUGAUGAACUGGCGGUGCUGUUGCUCUCUUUCGCAAGACGAGCUUCAGCUGCCUCUGCUCGUAAUGCCCGAAGUUGGGCCAAGUUCACAGGAAAAUUGUCCCGUGGCUCUGUACUAUCCCUACUGGAAGGAUUACCAGUCGAUGCCGACCUUCCAUGGUUUCUCCCAUCGCCACCGGUACGCCUGCCUAUGUCCAAAGCACAUGACAUAUCAUAAUUAUUCACAAUACAGAGUUGCAAAAGCAAAGUAGGAUAUUAACACAACUAUUGUAAACUUGGUCAGGAGUCUGGAAACCUAAAGCUAUACAGAUUACAAUAUAAAUAUAUAAAUAUAUGUGUAUUCCACGUAAAUAUCAGAAACGAAAUUACAAUCCGUGCAGAAACAAUCAAACCUCAAAGAGUUUUCGUACACUCAGUCAAUAUUGCACUGCACGUCAACAGCGAGCACGAAAUUGGAAUUAGCUAAUGUCACUACAGUUCGAAGGAAGACAAGUAUAAGAACAUGAGCCAGGAAGAGAGAAAAUCUUCACCUCCGCGGCGGCUGAAGAAAUGGCCUCCUAUGAUCAUGGCAGCUGCCGCAACGGCCAUCAUAGAGGCACUUAUCCAGGCAGGUUUUGCAUGAUCCUCAUAAUACGCAGGCCGCUUCGGAACCUCUGAAUUAUACUCCCUCACCGCUAACCACUUCCUUCUCUCCAUUUUGGUACAGUACUGACGGAGCGCCUAGAGGUGGAGUAUUCUCAGCUAGUCAUGCUAAAGCUGAGAUGCUAGCUGAAGCUUGAAAUGAGAGGCCUAGAGAGAAAAAACAUAAAACCAAAAUAGCAACUUCAGCUCGCAAAAUCACCCACAACGUUACCACUUCGGAACCAUGAAUCGAGCAGGCAACAUUGACAUUUGCAAUCUCCCUAAUCCCGCGACAUUCACACCUAGGGUUUAACGCUCAAACAUCUCGUGCAAGUGAUAGGAAUCCCAAAGCACAAAUACUGCCAACCCCACUUUCUAAAUUUCGAUCAAACUCGAAGAUUCGUAGUGCGAAUCCACUAACUGACUGCAACCGGCUGAUUCAGAAUCUUUUCUGCUUUACUUUCUUUUCGCCUUUCUUUUCCCCUUUCCUCAUCAACCUACUCCCACAUCAUCGCCAAACUUCCCAAAACUGGUUUCAAACCGACUCAACGACAUAUACUACAAUGACCAUGAUCACCAACUACGAGGCCAACAACGCAGGAUGCAUUGAGGCCCCACAAAGAGUCUCCCGCAUGACUAAAAACAACGAGAAAUCCAGGUGAGAAAGUGGGGACAUGGCAAAGAGGACAAAUCCAUGCGAGAAGUCGAGAGACAAUCUGGUCAGCAAGGGAAGAAUAGCAAAAGAGCUUACGGCAGAGGAUGGGGUAUUCUGAAGAAUCACAAUGCAGCAGAAUGCGUCUCACCUGGAAUCCAAUGGUGCGUGUGCUUCGUUGUGCGUCACCGUUGCAAUUGUGCGGGCAGUGGAAGCAUGAAUGGAAGGCAGGCACGCAACACGAGCACCAAGCUCGCGAGGGGAGCUGAGCUCGGCGUGCGGGCACGGGCACCGUGAUGACGCGGUGAAAGAGGGACCCUGGCGGAGGCGGAUAAGGGCUAUGUUUGUUCAUAGGAGCAUCCAUGGUCACAGGGCUCCUCGUCAUAUAUAUAUAUAUAUAUAUAUAUAUACAUACUGGUGGAAACCUGUGCCAUUGGCCACAAAAUUUUUUGAAUGUUACUGAAAAGUAUGAUUGGGACCUUUCAAGCUUCACACUUAGUUAUCUCGCAAUGCUACUCUCAACAAUUUGUAGCAAUAGUAUGUAGAUUUUGAUUCUGACCUUUGAUUGAUCAAAAGUUGAAUUAUUACUUCUUUUUCGCUUCACUUUUGAUAAAAACAAUGAGAAAUGCAACCAAUAGAAUUAAAGUGAAAUAUUGUUAGUACAAAUCUUAAUGUACUAGAACAUUAUAUUCACAUCAAAUAUUGAACAUACUGUUUUUAAGUCAUAUAAGUAAGUAGUUCAAUAUUUAAAUGUAAGAUGCCUUUAAGAGAUUUAAUUUUAUCAACUUUAAAUUUUAAAACUCGGAGAAAAAGUUGUCCAAAGAAUAUGACAUUUAAAGACAAAUAUAUCAAGCUUAGAUAAAAACUAGUAUACAAAAAUUAUGAUAAAAUUACAUCUAUUUGGUAUAUAUAUAUAUAUAUAUAUAUAUAUAUAAUUUUAUUUUAUAUGCUAUAAUCAGUAGAUCUAUAAUUAAUUAAAAAUAAAUAUGAAUACUUGUGACAUACAUGAUCCAAAGUCGUCCACCUUAUAUAUAUCUAGUUAGAGCCAGAUGGCUAAUUUCAGAAAGAAACAAUACUUGAUAAGCUCUAGCCAAUGAUUGAGUUGCAUGCUAGUUAGACCAUACUAUAAUUCACAAUUAAUUAAAAACAACCUUCAUUCCAAAAUACAUGUCAAAAUAGAAUGCAAUUAUUUAAUACAUUGUAUACAAUUAAUAUCUAUAGGAUUGAGACUAUUUUUUUAUUCACCUAAUCUAUAAUAGAAAUUGAGAUAUUAUGAAAUUAUUUAUAAAGCUAGCAAAGUUAAAAACACCUUAAAAAAUAAAAAAAUAAAAAUUAUUAUACAAAUCCAUGUUGAUUAUCAAUAUAUGUACCAAGAGAAAGAUUUGUACAGUUGAAAAUAGGAUGCUUUGCUACUUUGUCUGUAGGCACUAAGUAUAUUAGAGGCUAACCAUACAUAUGGAGAUGGACAUAGCUUAGAGUAAGGCAAUUGAAUGGAUUAGUUGUAGUAGUAUUAUUACCCUUAAAAAUCUUUAUGUUGCUACCUUGUAGAACAACCACUUACAUGUCAAGAAAUUGCUUCAUGAGGAUAUGAUUUGCUGUCAAGAAUUUUUUUUAUUGCACAAGUUUUAUGACAAAAAAUUUAGUAAAAUUUAGUCAAUGAUUGCCAUAAUUAUACUACAAAUUAUUUAAAGAUUACAUAACAAUAUCCAUCAACAAAGGUUACAUUUUCUAUUAGAAAUUAGAGGCCUUUGUAUUGCAAAUAGACUUCAUGAUCUUCUACAAUCAAUAUCUAAAUCACUUAAUUUUACACUCCAAAGUAUCAAACAUAACAAUUCAUAAUCAUUUCAUUUCUAUGUAAUUCGAAUUGUGGAUUCUAUUAAGGCUAUAUAAAUUCAACUUUUGAUUCAUUUUUAAUAAAAAAAUUUGAUGAAAAAAAUGACGUAUGUAACAAAUUAAAGAAAGUUUUAGUUUUUCUUGUUUAUCAAAUAUAUUUUUUUCCUCAAUGAGUUAUUUUAUAUAAAAAAUAUAUAUAUAUAUGUUUGAGUUUGUAGAUAUACAUGUAUAUUAUAAUACUUAUUGCACAAGUUUACAUUGUCUUAUUUUUAUUAUGGAUAGUAAGGCAAUCUAUUCUUUGACUUAUAAUGACGUAUUUUUGUGAAUGUGGUGAAGAUUGUUUCACCAGCUCAUUCACAAAGUUUGAAAUUGUCACCAUGUUUGAAAAAAGAGAGGUUGUGCUUCUAUGGCCUAUAACAAUAUUGGUUCAAGUUGCAAUUUUUGUUAUGGUUGGAAAUUAAUGGACCUUGGAGACUCCUCAUAUGGUAUCACUUUUUCUACUUUAUUGACUUCUUUAAGAUUAAUAAUAAAGAAUUUUCCUUAAAAUAUUAGAUUUGAAGUUAAAUAAUUCUUAAGGGGGAAUAUCUACUAAUUUAAUUUAAUACCUAUUACAAAAACUUUGUUAAAUGUCAAUAUUUCAUGGAAUACUGCUUUUUGUUUUUGUCUUAUUUUUUAGACUUUUUUGUAUUUGUAAAUCUCCACCCAAGCUUCUAUACCAAUUUAAAUUAUUAUUUUUCAUGCUCUAUAUAUGAUUACACAUGUAUGUAAGAAGAUGUGGUGGCAGUCAUGGUUGCAUUUGGCCCACCAAAUGUUCUAGAUUAAAAAAGAUUUGAAGAUCAAUUAAAAUAUAUUAUUAUAAAUAUUUAUACUAUUUAUGACUUUUAUAAACUUAUCACCUCCUUAUCAAGGUCUUCUAGCAUUGUAACUAUUAUUGUCCACCUCUUACCAAAAGUAUAUUGAAUCUUGUCCAAAUAAUUGAAAUAUGCAAACAUCUUUACAAUACAUACUCACAUGUUUCUAUUGCUUUAUUGUUAUAAAAGAUAUACAAUCAAUUAUAACCCAUAAGCAUCUUCUAUUUGCCAAUAUAUAGCUCAUGUAUCAUUAUGAGCCAUCUAAGAAGAAAGAUUUUAAUUGAGAUCCAUAGGCAUCAUAAUUUAGAGUAAAAGUACUUAAUAUCAUAAGCAAUGAAUUUAUUUUUAUAUAAUAUUUUGUUAGCUUUAUUUUAUAUUAUCAAUUUUUUCAAAUCAAUCAUCUAUUUUUUUUACUUUUUUUUUAUCCAUAGAGUAGUACUUCAAAUAAGACAUCAUAUUUUUUUCAUUUCCAUUUGCCAUGGUCUAUGUCUUAGGAGUUGAUGGAUCAUUUAUUUAUUAGCCAUAUUAUGUAAGAUUCUCUCACAGAGUUAAAAUAAUUGAUAUUGAUGAAAUCAUCAAAGUAAUCUAUUCUAUGAACCACUCACACUUAUUUGUAUAUUUUAUCACCCUUGUCUAAUAUAUUUGAAUGGAUAAAUUUCAAUUCAUCUAAUAGAUUAGUUGUAUAUUUAUUACUUAAUAUUAUUUAAUUAGUGAUGUUGAAGAAGUGAUAUACUUCUAAAAUAUCACCUAAUGCAUUUAUUAACUAUAAUAUUUAGCAUCAAGCUCCACUCUAUCCAAUAACCUUAUCAAAAUAUUUGCCUAAAGUCCAUAUGUAAUUAUAAUUUAGGCUUUAUGUGAAUUUUUUGAAUUUUUUUUGAUAUUUACUAAGGCCUAGUAAUCAAAGUUAUAUCAAUAGCUUCUAUUAAUAUAUUUUAAAUGAGUUAAUUUGUAACUCAUUAGAAUAUUCUAUAUUUCAAUUACUGGAUUAAUUCUUUGGCUAAUUAAUUUGACUAAAAUGGCAUUAACAUAUAAGCUUGGAUUAAAUAUUUUUAUACCCUUGUAUAUUUGUUGUCAUAUGUUUGUGGUCUAUUUUACUUUCGUGCAUGCAAUGCCUAAGGUUAUGUUGCUCUAGAGGUAGUUUUUAGAAAUAGAUCUAACUAUUUUGAUAAUGUUAUUAGAUAGGAUAGAACUUCAUGCUAAAUACUAGAUCAAAUCUAAAAUUUCUUAAUUAAAAAUUAAUCUACAACCAACUAUAGAUAAUUUGUGGAUGUUCUAUUUGAUUAAAAAAUUUAUAAUCUAAAUAAGUACUUUGUUGUCCCUCUUCUCUUAUAGAACUCUGUAACUAAUAGAAGAGCCUUGAUAGCAUAUAGUUUCUUCUAUACAUUUUUAAUUGAAUCUUCUUUCGUCACUUUAUUUUUAUAUUUUUUUUGUAAUACAAUCCAUAUGGUAAAGAUUUUGUGCCAAUUCACCUUUGACUCUAAAGCUUCACUAUACCUAUUUAGAACCUUCAUCAUUUGUAUUAGAUUGAUUAGUUUUCUAAAAAAAAAUAAUGUAAUAUUAUUUGUAAAUAUUUGAUUGUCCACUCAUUAUUUGUUUGGCAUCUUUUAUCCUAUCACUUUAUAUUUUGAAUUAUCUAAGAUAUAAUUCAGAGCAUUGGUAGCAAAUAAAAAAAUAUGGUGCCAAAAAAUACUCUUGUCUUAUUAAUUGUUAUAGUUCAAAAAUUGGUUCUUAUUCUUCAUUGAUCUACAUUGUUGCAAAUGCUUUUAAACAAAAGGACAUUAUUGUCUUAACUCAUUUUAUUGAAAAUCCUAAUAUAAUUAAAAUUUAUAGAAGAAUGACUAAUUAAUCAAAUCAUAUGCUUUUUCAAAGUUAAGAAGUAUAAAAAUCAAGUCUUAUUGGUUUUUUUUUUAUCUCAGCAAUAACUUUUGUUAUUAAAAACACCUUAUCUAAGAUGUUGUGCUCUCUUAUCAAUUGAUUUAUCAUAAUUGAGUAAGUGGAACAACAUCCUAAUUGCUAUGACAUUUGCUAAAUUUUUGUAGAAAAUUCUUAAAAGUAAAAUUAGUCUAUAAUUUAUAAUUAGUAAUAAUUUAUCUAUUUUUGGAAUAAAAAUAAUCUUACUUAUGUUUAGGUAUUGGAUCAAGUUGUGUGUGAUAAAGACCUUUAAGACUAGUACUAUAAUAACUUCUAUUAAAUUAUCCUAGCAAAUUUAGAAGAAUUUUGAUGAGAUCAUGUCUAAUCUUAGUAUCUUAUCUUUAGGUAGUUGUUGAACAACCUCUUUUAUUAUGGAAUCAUCCACUACCACUACCACUUCUAAUUGUAUAUUAUAAUUAUCCAUUAUUACCUAAGGCACAUUAAUAUGUAUUAUACUUUGGUAGCUACAUUCUCUUUGAUAUCUUGAUCUUUAUAUUAUAACUCAAAAUAGAAUUGAAAUAGGAUUGAUCUAUGUCAAGAGUCUAAGACCUUUUUAAUCUAUAGCAACAUAAAACCUUAUCACAAAGUAGGAAAAAAUGAAUUAGAACAAAAUUGAAGAAAAUUAAAUAUAAUAGGACACAAAAGACAAAACUAAGUAAAUAGAAAUAGAAUAGAACAGAAUUGAAUAAGAAGUUUAAAACCAAAUUUUACUAAAAAAAAAGGUCUAAAGUUAUAUCUGACCAACUUCCCAAGAGGCUUUGAUCAAUCCUAUUUAUACUUUGUUCUACCACUCUAGACUUUUUAGAAUGUUACUAGAUGAUGGAUCUAUUUACAUAACCAUCAUAAAUUCUUUUUAGAAGGUUCUAUCAUAGGUUCUAUGUAGAUAACUACCUUAAGCCCUUUCUAGAAUGUUCCACAGUAGAUCUUAUAUAGUCCACUAACUUAGUCCCAAUUCUAAAAACUUCUAUAACUUUUUGAAGAUGGUUCUAACUAUCUAUUCAUAUGUGUCAAUAAUACAAAUAUCUUAUGUACACUUUGUUACAAUUAAUUUCUUUCUACUAAUAUAAAAUAUCUUGGUUUUACUUCCAAUGGUAUUUCCAAAUUGUCUCUUGGCAAUAGAUGAAGUUUUAUGUAGGUUCUUACAUUGCAUCAUGGAUGGAAUAAUCUUUUUAAAGAACUUUGUACUAAAGUUGUGGAUGUCUAUUGCCAUGAUAAAGGUAACAAUGCUCUAAAAUGCUACCUACUUCAUAUUUUUGUUGGUCAUCAAUUAUAACAAGUAGUGGUGGUGGUUGGUGUCAAUCUAAAAAGUACUUUGGCUUAAUAUAAAAAUACUUUAAUUGUAAAACAUGAACGAUUAGAUGGAUCCAAGUAUGUGGCAGAAGCUGGAGGCAAUAUGCGAUAUUAGAAAUCACUACAAAAAUAUAGAAAGAUCCAAGCCACCAAGGUACCAAUUUACGAACUUGAAUUGAUGUAGCAAGUGGCAAGUUGGCGUUGGAGAAUAAUGUUUGAUCACCCUUUCAAAAUAUCUUAUAUUUUUGGUGGUUAUCUACAUAUUACUUUUGUCGACAAACUCCUCCAUUGUUGAGUUGUUAGUAUUGAUGGGACAAUGAAGAGUUGCUGGCUAAUUGGAUGUUGACCACUGUUAAAAAAAAAUAGUGAAUGACUAUUACUUGCUUGAAUACUAUCAUUAUAAGGAAAUUCCAAUAGCAUCAAAUAUUCAUCCCAAUCAUUAUAAUGAAGUACCAUAAAUAUCCACAGCAUAUCUUUUAAAGUCCAAUUUGCAUAUUUUCUUUGUCCAUCUAUUUGGGGAUGAAAGGUUGUAGACAUGACAAGUCAUGUGCUUAGUAAUUUAAACAAGGCUUUCUAAAAAAAAAUUGUGAAACAUGGAUCUCAAUCUAAAGCAAUGAUACAAAAUAAUCCAUCAUAACAAAAGACAAUAUCAAAGACGACCUAUACAAGUGCUGAGGUAUCAAUAUUCAAGCAUACUAUGGCCAACUGAAGUUAAUUUGAGAGCCAAUGCACAAAAACAAAAACUACAAUGUAACUAUGAGGUGUUUGCAGUAAACACGUAGUGAGAUCCAUAGUUAUCUACUACCAAGAUACCGUAGCUAGUGAAAUUGGUUGCAAUAGUCAAAAAGAUGCUGCAAAGUAUAUUUUAUUAUAUUGACAUGACUUAUGGAAGUGCACUAAAGUUCAAACAUCACAAUCCAAACUUGCCAAAAAUCAUGUCUAUGAGAUUGUUCUAGAAUUUUUUCAUGCUCUAGAUAUCCACAUAUUAGGAUAUCAUGUCCCUCUUGAAGUAUAUGUGUCUAAAAUAUAGCAUUGUUAGGUACAUAAAUUUGCUUCUUGAAAUAGAGUAAGCUAUUACUAAAACUGUAAUCUUGAUAUUAUAUAUUAUCUAUCUUCAAUCAAUAGCUAAUCAUCUUGAAAUAAAUAUCUUGAUACAUAGCUUCUUUCUAUUUUAUAUCUUUUAUUAGGUUUAAAAUGAUACUAUUAAUGAUAGAAAUUUCUAUCUUAUCUCUCAAUUUGGCCUUCAAAUUUGGUCUUUGUGAGAAGUUAUUUGGCACAAUAUGUUGUCACCUUUCCUUGUAUUCAAGUUGGAUAUCAAAAAGUUGUAAUUAUUCUUUUUAACAAUAAUAUUUUAAUUUUAUAUUUUUUAAAUGCAAAUCAUGUAGCAAUGAUGAAUGGACAGUCCAAACAAUGACUAGCUUCUUUAACAGAUACUAUCGCCACACCUUUGUUGCAUGUACAAUUGUUAAUUACUCUCAAUCACGUACAAAGUAAUUGUGCUCUAUCCCUCUAAGCUUGCAUAAUUCAUAUGCCAUAAGUUGAAAGUUCUUACUAAAGUCUUAUUGAAAUACCACUCCAAUAGUAAAGUCGAAAGCAUCAAUGUAAAGUAUACAAGGAAGGUUGAAAUCAUAUGGUUGUAAUAUUGGAGCAAUAAUGAGUGCUUCCUUCAACCUAUCAAAGACACUUUGUUGCUCCAAUUUUUAUUCAAAUGGGGCACCUUUCUCCAAUAGAUUUAUCAAUGAAAUAGCAAUGAGUAUAAAUUACCGAACAAAAUGGCGAUGAUAUCUAUCAAGGCCUAAAAAUAAGUAGACUUGAGAAGCAUCCUUGGAGGUUGGCUAAUCUUCUACUACUUUCAUUUUAUCCAACUCCAUGUACACGCCUUCAAAGAAUACCACAUGCUUCAAAAAAGUGACUUUUGACUUCCAAAAUUCACAUUUUGAUUGCUUGGAAUAGAAAUGACUAUCUUAUAGUUAGCACAACACUUCUCGUAGAUGUUGCUUAUGCUCCCCAGGGAUUUUAUUAUAAAUAUGUAUAUCAUCAAUGAAAAUAAUUACAUACUUAUUCAAAAGAUCUUAAAAUAAUCUGUUCAUGUAACUCAUAAAAGAGGUUGGAAUAUUGGUGAGGCCAAAAGAUAAAACCAACCAUUCAAAAUGUCCAUAGUAUAUACAAAAUGCCAUCUUUUUUAUAUCCUCUCUUGGAAUAGGUAUUUGCCAAGAGUCUCUUUAAAGAUUCAAUUUACUAAAGAUAGUCAUACCUCAAAAUUGGUCAAAAAGAUCAUCUACGUGUAAAAGUGGAUAUGUAUUUUUAAUGAUCUGCUUAUUGAGGCCUCAAUAGUCAAUACAAAGCUAAAGUCCACCAUCCUUCUUGAAUGCAAAGACUACAUGUGCUCUCUAUGGUGAUGUACUUUUUCAAAUGAGAUCCUUCUCCAAGAAUUCAUCCAAUGUCUUCGACAUCUCUUCAAGUUCAUUUGGUGCUAGGCAAUAAAUUGGCCAACUUGUUGGUUUGGUUUCAGAUAAUAGUUUUAUUUGAAUGGGGGUAUCUUGAUCAGGAGACAUGCUACUAGAUAGGUUGGUUGGAAAGACAUCUUGAUAUUUUUGUAUGAAUUACUUUAUUAAUUCUAUUUCUUUGGCUAUCUUUCGUACUAUUAAUGUAAGAUUUAGAACCACCAUAUAUCUUAGUUUCUUAUGCUAUAUUUACUUCUUUAUAAAAGUCAUCUCUAUGAAUAAGUCUUUAAUUGUAGAUAGAUUUUUUUCUUCACUCAAUACAGAGGUAUAAAGAGCCACCUUGCAUCCACCAUCUUUGGCAUAUCAAAGAUAACAUCAUAUUUUAGCUUUGUCACCUUGAACCUCUUUCUUAAGAUAUAGGUGUCAAUUAACAUCAAGGUUUCUUCUUUAUAUGUCUCAUUCAAUAUAAAGACAGAAACCUUGAUGUUAAUUGAUACCUAUAUUUAUUGGGGGGCCUUACUUCCUUGCUUUAUCUCUUUAUAGACUUUGUGAGUCUUGAGAUUGUAAAUCUAUCUUGUUUUGUUGGUACUUGAAUUUUGACAUUUUAAACAACCUCUAGUCUCAUGGCCUAGUUCUUGACAAUAGAAACAUAAUCCUUUUUAUACCAAUAUUUGUCGACUUUGUAGUGUCAAUGAUCUUUGUAGGGCAUCAAUCUUCAUUGGCAUUGGUUUUUAUAUCAUAGUAUUAGAUAGUAAUAUAAGUCUUUGUACUAUAGGUUGUACUCCACAAUUUCUAAAAUCUAUAGCAUCAAUCAUCUCUGCAAUCCUACUUGCCUCUUCAAAUAUUUGUAGAUCCUUUAGUUCUACCUCUCGCUAGACUCCACAUUUCAAACCUUGUAGAAAUUGAUCCAUCAUCUUUGAUUUUGAAGCAAUGCCAAUUUAAAGACAUAGGAACUUGAAUCAAGAGACAUAAUCUUAUAUAGACUUAGAUUGUGUAAGAUCUGCCAAUUAAUUGCGUACUAUCUUUUCCACAUUAAUGGACCAAAAUUGAUUCUUAAACUUCGUCUCAAACUCCUCUCAAUCACAAAAUCCACCUUGAGCUUGAUAGCUUUGAAUUUAAUAUUACUACCAGAUGGCUAUCACAUCUCUCAAAUAGCUAGUUACAUACAUAAUUCUUUCAGUGGUAUUUGCCGCAGAUAGUUGAAAGUAUUGUUGCAUAUUAAAGAGCCAUUGACAUAUAUCUUCUUUUUUUGAAGUCUCACAGUAUGUAUUAGGCUUAGUCAAUUUCAGCUUAGUAGAUGUCGUCUUUCUUAUUCUAAAGGCUUCUAUUUAUCCUUGUAAAGUAACUAUUUGGCUUAAGAUGUACUAUAUUUGAGCUUCCAUCUAAGAUUGCUCUGCCAUAUCUUCCAUGUUGUAAUUCUUUGCUAAACUCCACUAUUGUAAUGCAUUCUCAUCUUUCAAUUGACUUUUUAUGAGUAGCUCUUAGUAGCCUCAAUAUAGUACACAGUAUGAACAUAACAAUUGGCCUUGAAUUAAAUGAUAACUAUCAACACACUACCAAAGAACAGUCUAACACUCACUUUGAUACCAAUGAAACAAAACCAAUCUAUUUCAAGAGUCCAAGAUCCUUCUAAUCCACAAUAACAUAAAACCUCAUUACAAAGUGGGACAAAAUGGACCAAAAUAAAACCAAAUAGAAUUAAAUAAAAUAGGACAUAAAAGAUAAAAUUGAGCAAAUAAAAAUAAAAAAGAAGAUGCAAAACCAAAUUUUAUUAAGAGAAAAGGUCCAAAGUCAUAUCUUACCAACUCUCCAUGAGGCUUUGGCUAAUUCUAUUUAUACUUUGUUCUACUAUCUUAGACAUUCUGGAAUAUUCUUAAAUCAUGAAACUCACUUAAAUAAUCAUCUUAAACUAUUUUUAGAAGAUUUUAUGAUGGAUCCUAUCUAAAUAAUUGUCUUAAGUCCUUUAUAGAAUGUUCUAUAAUAGAUCCUAUAUAAUCCAUUAAUCUAGUCCCAAUUUUAGAAACUUCCAAAUUUUUAAAAUAUUGUUCCAACUAUCUAUCCCUAUGUAUCAACAAUACAAAUAUCUUAUUUAUACCUUGUUAUAAGAAUCAUUAUAAAUAGUCUAUCAUUUUUUUUAUAAGAUUCAAUUGUUGUCAUUAAAUUCUCUAAUCUUAUAUGAUUUGUUUUUGCUUUAGAAUUGAAAAAAUUAAUUUUUUUUAUGUACUUGUUUCCAAUUCUUAUCUAUCUGGUAGCUUAAUUAUUAAAUUAUUUCUCUAAUUUUUGUUAUUUUAUUACAAAUAAAUAGAAUUAAGCUGUAUUCAACGUAUUUUGGGCCCUUGGUUGUUUUAGUUGUCUUAGAAUUCAAUCUCACUUUCUUCCAUGUUUUUAAUUUGAUUUUCAUAAAAUUUAUAUUAUUUUUAUUUUUAUUUUUUUAUCACAAGAUUUUUAAAUUGGACUACUUAUAAGGCUUUGACAACUUUGUAAUUCUAACUCUAGUGUCAAUUAGCAUUUAUUGUUGAUUUUCAAGUAGAAAUUAGUGUGUUUCUUUCUUCUACCAUUGUGAAUUAGAGUUUAUUGAAUGCUAGAAUUUUAGACAAUCUUUUGUUCUAUUGUCAUGUAAAAACAUGACUAUAUAAUAAAAAAUAAAAUAUAGAUAUUAUCUUAGAAGAAUCUAGUAGAAAGAUGUAGUAGAAAAUUAAGAAUAAAUGAUAGAAAAUUAAUAUAAUAUUUAGUUUUAAUGUUUUCUUUUAUAGAAUGAACUUCUAUUUAUCUUAUAGAAGUAUAAAUGAGCCAAAUCAAAAUAAAUGAAUUAAGAAUUUAAUAUAGACAUAUUUAAGAAAUAAUUAAUAAUAGAUUAAAUCAAAACUUAAUUCAAAUUUCUAAAAAUUAAUAUCCAAUGAAGACUAGUUAUCAAGCUAGAUUCUAAGACACAAAACCACAUUCAUAUGGCAACUUUGGGAUUCUUUGGUAGAACAAAGAAUAGAGUUUAAAAAUAAACAAAAAAAGCAAAUAUUUGGAUGUUGGUUUCAUAUUAUUGGAAUUAAUAUUGAAACUUUGAAGGAUUUUUAAAAUUAGUGAUAUUUUUGGUGGAAUGAAGGUUUGAAAAAUAAAAGUAUGUUUAUAAAUUUGAUAGUUUCUUAAAUUAUAUAGUUUGUAUAUAAGUAAAAUUUGGGCAAUGUAUUGUUGUGCUAGUUAUAAAUAUAUAUAUAUAUAGAUAUAUAUGUAAAUUUUGAGGUCAAUUUAACAAUUAGAUUUAACUACAUGAGGAUUUUUGUGGGUUGAGGUCUCAAAAAUUGGAAUUUGAAGGUCAGUGAGUAUUUUUAAGAUCUCCAACAAUUUAUUAAUUGGAUUGAAGUAAAAUUUUUUUGUAUGAAUAUGAGACUUGCUUUUCAACAUUGUUAAAAAGGCAAACCUCUUCAAGAAAAUAUAGAAUCCUUAAUCACAAGUCGAUUGCAAGAAGGCUCAAUGUUGUUUUAAAUAAAAUCAAAUAUAAAAGGCAAUUCAAAGACUAGGUACAUUUUAUAGAUUAAUUUCUUUCUUAUACUAGGAUGCAUCCAACUCUUAAUUCUAAUUUCAAAUCCAAAUUUUUUUACUAAAAUAUCUAUAAUUCAUUUAUUUCUAAUUCAAUAUAGAUAAAAUUUAGCUCAUUAAAAAAAUAAUAAAAAAAAUUAAAAAUUAAAAUCCAAUAAAUGGCAUAAAAAACUCCAAAUUGGUCUUGAAAUUUGCUAUUCAAAAACUCUAGCAACUCAUUUCCACAAAUUUGCUUGAAUCUCCUUCCUCAUUGUUCUAUUUUAUGCAUACUAUGGCUUAUUGAAAAGCUCCUAAUCAGAUCUAGUUUUUUUCUAAAUAUCAAUACAAAAAGAUAAAAGUAAAAUAAGUAGCAUAGAAAAGUCCAAAUUAGUGUUGAAUCUCUUUUCUUGAAAAUUCCAGCAAAAAAAGAAAAAGAAAAAAAAAUCCUACUUGAUUCCAAAACCUUCAUCGUAACCUUCUUUUAAUACAUGCCUUGAACCACUAUAUAAUUGAGUAUCUAUCCUAAAAGACAAUGACUUCAAGCUUGAAUAAUCCAUUCACGCCAAUAACAUCUUAUUUUUAAAUCUCAUUCAAAUUUAUAAAUAUAUUAGCAUUAUAUUCUUUUUCUCCAACUAAUGAAAUUAAUUACCCUUCAAAUAACUUUGAUGUACUUAAAUUAAGUGCAUUAUGAAAUUCAUCCCUUCCAAACCUAUACAUACUUUCAUAUAUACUAAAGAAUUGGACGACAAUACUACCAUCAUCAGAAUCAGAGUUAUUGUGAGUUGUAUCACUUUUGAACCAUUGAUUAAAAUAUUGAGGCUCAAAAGCCUCUAAAUCUUCUAUUUAAUUCAUCUCAUCUUGUUGCUUGAAGACUUGAAUUUACUUUUUUGCAAUCCUAGUCUCUAAUAGUGUCUUAUCUAACUUUCAAAGAUAAUAAGUUGUAUUAUUAUGCACUUCAACUACUACAUAGGGUCCAAAUCAAUGCAAUGCAAAUUUAAAAAGAGUAGAAUGUUGGUGCAUCAAACUACUAUCAAAAACCAAAAUUUAAUCACCCACUUUAAUUGGUUUAAGCCUCAAUUGACAAGUUUUAUUAAACCUCUCUUUGUUCUUCAAUCUUGCUACUUUAAGCUUCUCUAUAGCAACUUGAUGAUCAUUGAGUAAUCUUUUUAGUUGAUAAAUUUGAAGUUCCAACAAUCUCUCUCUAUCAAUGCCAUUCUUCUAAGAUAAAAACAACCAAGAAAAAAUAGACUCUUCUAUAGGCAUUAAAGGCUUUUGUUCCAACAUCAACUUCAUUAGCAUAUAGCUAAUAAUUAUACUAUGAAUAGUCCUAUCUGUCCAUAAAAUAAAUAGCAAAAGCCUAAGCCACAAUCUUACUUGAAUCCUAUAUGUCUUGAUUAAAGCUUAAAUGAUUGGAAAGUGCUUUCUUUCACUCUUAUCAUUUGCUUUAAAGUUGUAAGAGGUGGUCAGUUUCAGUUGCACUCCAUAUCUUGUAAAGAAAUCAUAUACCUUUACUACAUUAAGCUCACCUUGAUCUACUUUCAUUCUUUUAAUACUCCCAUAGCAACAUAAUCUUCCAAAAUAAACCGAUACACUAUCUUUGUGGACUUUGACAUCAAUGCCCUUCUUUCCAUAUAAUUAGAGACUUCCUCUCUUGCCAAAAUUAAAUAAUUUAUAUUUCAAAGUUCUAUUUAUAUGGCAACCAAAUCAAUCACCCAUUAAAAGUGAAUAGCAAGUAGAUAUGUAGGGCAUAAACUAUCUCUAUACUUCAUCUUAUAUUGCAAUUGGCAUUCUUUACAACAACUCUCAAAUUCCUUGAUAUCCUUGUGUAAGCCCUUCAACCAAUAGCAUUCUUUGAACUUAAUGUAAGUAGCUCAAAUUCUUCUAUACCUAGGCUAUAAUAUAUCAUGAAACUCACCUAAUACCUUGUGUUUGGUCUCUAAAUCAUCCACCACUCUCAAUGGCAUACCAUCUCUCUUUUUUUGCCUCUUCUAUAAGAAUCCAUCACGUAAAAGAUAGUUGUAGGAUUGGUACCUAAUAUCUUGAAAGUUCUUAUCCAACCAACUUUCUUGCCUCUCUAUUAUGUUCAAAUACAAGCCCACGUCUCUCAACUUCUAUUCAUACAAAUCAAUUUUGAAAGUUAGAAUCUCAUCACCUUGAUCUCUUCUACUUGUGGCAAAUACAAAGCCUUGGGCCAAGUUUCCAUCUUUCUUUUGUAUAAGAAUUUCUAGUUCUCUUGAAUACCUAGCCUUAGAUAACAUAUCUACCACCAAAAUAGGAUUCAGAGACUUAAUAAAAGUAAUCUAUCUAAGCAUAGUAAUAUCCAUUGUAAUACAAUUAGAAACCAUUCUAAGCAAAGGCAAGCAAUUGGUCUCUAAUACCACAUGAAUACUUAUUUUUUUUAGCCUUCAAUGUGUUAAGUACACUCCAAAGCUCUCUUUUCACUUGUAGAUAAGUUCUUUACUUCUUAGUGAGAAUCCUUGCUCCAAGUCUAAUUACAAAUUAGUUAUCUUCUUUAUAAUCUUGUCUAAUAAUCCAUCCAAUGGCUAUAGAACUUGUAUCAAUUGUCACUAUCACCAAUCUUUCUUAAUUAUAGUCCACUUGCUUUAAUACUAGUAGUAAUUUCAAAAACACCUUUAAUCCAUCCAUGGCCAAUUCUUGUUCUUUAUGACAUGCAAACUUCUUUUUUUUCUCAAUGAUUGUUAUAAAGGCUCCGCAAUAUAAAUAUAAUAGAAAAUUGAUAUAUGAUAAAAUAUACAAGCUACCAAAAAUCUUCUUACCUUGGUGAUGUUCUUACAUACCUUCAUCCUUGCUAUGGCAUCUAUCUUAUUUGAAUUUGAUUUUCUUGCAUAGCUUUCGUAUAAAUGCUCAACAAUCAUAAUUUUUUAAAAUCCAAAUAAGAACUUUUAAAGGAACAAAGUGAGAUUUACCUCUUCAAUUCUUUUCAAAAUGGGUUCUAUAUCUUCAAUAUGUUCUUUUAUAAAUGUACAACAUCCAUUUUUUCCUAAAGUCAAAUCCUUAACUUCAUCCUUACAACUUUUUAUUGGAAUAUCAUCCAAAAAGAAUAUGGUCUUUUCUAGCACAAACUCUCUUAAAAUUUGGUUCAUUCCAUUUUGUAAAUGAGCCAUGAAAUUAGUUGCAUCUUGUGGUAAGGUAUUCAUGUAUAUUAAAUCCAAAGAAUUUUUCAUAGUAAUUAGGUUCCAAUUCUCCUCUGCUAAUUGAAAUUGGUCAUAAUCUAAGUAUAAAUCUCUAUUAGAAUAAAUAGUAUGCCCCAUAAAAGCUUCUGGUAUUUUAACUAUUAUUAAUCCAGAUUCUAUAUUCUUAAUAGUCACAUCAUUGGUUGAUUGCUUAUCUUGAAUGAACCUAAGUGUUUCAAAUUUCUUUAAUACAAUAAACCAUCAAUUGGAGUAAGAUGCAAUAGAUGGUUUAAAAAUUCCCAUUUUUUCUUUUUCUUUUUUUUAUUAAAUCUACCAAUUUAGAAAGCAAAGCCUUUAAUAUCAAAAUAAACUUCAAGAUCCAAGAUAUAUGUGGAACAAUAAAAAUAACCUUAGGUUCUAUUAUACUAAGAUCUACUCAACUAAUUUUUUUAGGUACAAUGACAAAAGCCUUAUUAUAUUUGGAAAAAUAUCUCUAAAAACUUCUCGCCUUUCUAUCUUGGUCAAAAAAUCAUCUCCUUCAAUCUUCAAAUUAUUCAAAGAUUCUUUAAUAAACUUAUAAUCAAUUUUCCUUCACUCCUUCAAUCUUGGCCCUAUAGUAGCUUAUUUGAUAUGCUCUUUAGUAUCUUGAGGCAAUUGAAUUGCAACAAGCUUCACCUUCUUAGCUACGAUUUAUACUUAGUCUAUACUAUAGCCUUUGAGAAUAUCACAUGACUAUCAACUACCUCAAGCCUCCUAAAAAAUUCUAAAAUCUCCUCAUUUUUUUGCCUUGAAUGAAACUCCACAAAAAUAUUAAUUUCACUUCCAUCUAUAUUUAAAGACAAUCCUUCUAAAAUCUUUAUAUAAUAUUCUUUAAAUCCUUCUUUAAUAACAUUUAAAUGCACUCAUCACUUGAAAUUACAUUCAAUCUUUUUAAUUUAUUCUUAUAUUUUUUCAUCCAACCUUUAUACAUAUGACCUAAAUCUCUAAUCUUUUGAAAUUUCAAAACCUCUAAAGUUGUCAAAUUCGAAAAUCCACACUCAAAGCUAUCUACAUUAGGAAGUAUCUAGAUAAAAGACUUACUUGCAUUCUUAUAUCUCCAUGCUACAAGGAUGCUCUUUAGAAAUCCAAAAACUGCUCAUUGAUCUACAAAGAAGCUUCUCUCAAUUGGUCUUUAAUUUGUUCAUGAUUCAAUCUUAUUAAGAAGAAUUAUAUUGAUUUUUUUCCAUCAUAGUCCUUAAUCCUUACAUAGUAAGAGCCAUCAUCUAAAACCUUGGUCUCUAUCCUCAUAGCUGUGAUAUAAGAUUGUCCUAAAAUGAGAAGGUAAGUAGUAAAGUUUUGUAUAAAGAAAUUUUGCUCUACUUCCACAUCUCUAAUCCUUAUUCUAACUCCUAAACAUGCCUCAUACAAAUUACCUCACUCAUUGUUGGGAGCCCUCAAUACCUAUCCUUAGUUAACAUCAAUAGAUUACUUAUCUAUCUCAUAAAUCCUCCUUAAUAUGAUAUUAAUAUCCGAUCUAUGAUCAAUAAGUACUAUGGUGUGUUUUUUGAGGACUUUUAGUCUCAAUUCAGCCUCUAUAGUAGACUUAACUCAAAAAAGUUGUCCAAAUUGAGCACUCAUCCUCUCACCCUCAAACCUCCCAUAAAAAAAUACAAUUAGACAUAUUUACCUCACUUAUGUUUAUACCAUGCUCUAUCUCUUUGCCGCUUCUUGCUUCUUCUUGAUUUUUGCCUCUACUAUGGCCUUGAAUAAUUUUUUUUUUUUUUUUUUUUUUUUUUUUUUUUUUAUUUAUUUAAGUGGCAUCUCUUCAAAUAUAGAUACACAAAGUUGGAAGAAGACUUGUUCUAUCUUUUAGUCCUCUCCUUUUAUUAAAUAGGAUUCCAAUAUCUUUAUUAUAAUUACAUCCAUUGUCAUUUGCCUCUUUUUCUUGAUGGCAUCAAUGAUAAGCUCAUGAAAGUCCUUCUUUGCAAUGAAAAAGGCCUCCUUCAAGAUAAAAUUAAUUUUUAUAAAUUUAUCUAGAUAAGAAAUAUAAGAUAAAAGAUAAAUAUGAGUAAAUUUGAUAUUAUCUUAUGACACAACUUCUUAGAAGCUUCAUAGGUGCAUAUUUGAUUUUAGACAUAUUUACAGUUAAUUGGUAGGUUAGAAACUUAGCCAAGAAAUUAGCCAUGUAUUCCAUGUGCUAGUAGCUUAUAGAACAAGUUAAUUAUGUGGUGUAUGCAUAAUAAACUUGUCUUAUAAGUUAGACAUAUGUCUUACAAGUUGAACACAUAUCAAAGGUUCCAUAAAAUAUUGCUACAUAGCUUUUAAUUAGAUAGUAUAUAUGGAGGUAAGACUAAAGUCUUCUUCAAUCUUAUCAAUAUUUUUUAAGUCCUCAAUCUUCUUUCAAGACUUUCUAAUCUUUUGUCGUUGGCAACAGUCAUUCUAGUUUAAUAUUAUUCUACCAUUAAGUGAUUAUUUUAGUCUUUUUGAAUGGCACAAGAGCAUAUUAAUCUUUUAGUUUUUAGAGAUUCAUGACCUUAAUAGUUUGGUAAAAGUACUUACUCAUUAUUCUUGUUUUAUUUUUAAACUUGAGUAGUUUAUUCUACUUCUAUUAUUGUAUUUCAAUGAUUACAAACUACUUAUCUUUGAACUAACUUUUAAUUUUCAAACACUAAUCUUUUUUUUAAAAAAUAGUAUAUUAUUUUUUAUAUAAAAAUUUUCAUCUGAUAUUAGAGGUUGCAAAUUAUCCUCCUAUAAUUUAUCUUUUGGAUUUAUUUGAGUUGUUUAUGAAAGAAAAAAUUAUAAAUGCUACUCAUAUUAAAAGUAAGAAUAGAUUUGUAACUAUUAUAGAUCUUUACAAGCUUAUUAAUACUCUUGAGAUAGAAAUUUCACGUAUCUCUAAUAUCAACUAUAGAAGUAAUAUUCCUAUGCCUAUAAAAAAAAUAGAUAAUAAAGUCUAAAGUCUAUGCCAAAAAGUUGUGCAAUUUAAAAAAAUAAGUAGAUGAAGUUCACAAUUGAAUUUGAAGAGUCUUACUACUAUAAGUAUGAGAGAAGCAAGAAUAAGUAUGCUAAAAAAUUUGAUGGAUCAAAAUCAAAGUUUCAAAGGUUUCUGUAAUGUGGAACUUUAUGUAAGGCUGAAUUUUUUUAAAUAUCCUGAUGGAUUUACUCAAGUCAAAUUUAUAAGUACUUUUCUAUCUAGGAGUACUCUCUAUCAAUUUGUACCUUUGAUAAAAAAAGGAUUUAAAACUAUUUUAUGAUUUAAACUCAUCCUUAGAAGUCUUCAUAGCCACAUUUGGAAAAAAUAUUUGAAAGAAGAUAAUAGAGGCUAAAUUUGUAUCUUUAUGAGAAGAAUCACAUUCAGCCACCUUAUAUGUUGCUGAAUUCUAAAAUCUUGCUUAUAAUAUGGAUUGGAAUGAAAAAGCCUUUAUCAAUCAAUUUUGAUAUGUGUUAAAAGAUAAUAUCAAAGAUUUAUUAAUGAUGAUGCCAAAAGAAAAUUUAUUAAAGAAAUUAAUUAUUGAAGCCAUUGUAUGCCAUAAUUAAUUCUUUGAAAGAUGCUAAGAACAAAGAUUUGGUUGAAAAAGAACAAGUCAAGUUAUGGCAACAAUUUCUAAGUUUUUAGAAGCUUCAAGAUUAGAAUCUAUGUAAAUUGAUAUAAUACAUUUCAAACAUCUUGCUAAAAAAAAAUUAAAAAAAAUCAAUAUUGUCAAAAAGGUUUGUGCUUAUAUUAUAGAAAAUCUAAGCACACUAUUUAAUAUUAUUCAAAGAAGCAACGCAACCACAAAAUAAAGAGUAUGAUUGCCAAUGAGGAUAAUGUGUUGAAAAACUAAUUUUUCUAGCUACAAUAGAAAUUGUGUAGUUAAAAUCUUAUAUGAUACCUAAUAAUGGUCAUAUUCUCUCUUCAAAUCCUUCAAUUUAUUUUAUAAUAUAAUUUUUUUUAGAUAAAAAAAUAACAAAGACUUAGUCUUAUUACAUUCACAAGUCUCAAUUUAUUUUAUAGAUAAAGAUUUUAUUAAAAAACAAGAAAUAUAUUUAUUUAAAAAAAUCAAACUUAUACAUAUAGAAGUAAUAGAUGAAAUAAUAUUAUUCAUGAAAUUAUUUGUUUAGAUGUAACAACUAAUAGUCAUAAAAGCUUAAUAAUAUUUAAUGUAAUUAGAUCUUCUUUUAAUCUAGUCAUUUUAAGAUUAUUAUAACUAGACAUACAUAACUUUUAAAUACACUAGAUUUUUAAUAAUCUUAAUUUUUUUCAUAGUUUAAUUGAAGAUUAUAUUAAUCAAGUAAAAAUCCAUAAGUUUAAUAUAAUCAAAUCUUUAUUGCUAUAUAUGCCACAUCCAUCUUCCAUGGUGGAAAGACUAAAAUUUAUAUUCUAAGUCAAUUUUAAGAUCAUCAAGAUGUUUUUGAAAAGAAAAAUAUGCAUGUUUUCUCAAAGCAUCAUUUGUGUCAUUGUUCAAUCAAUCUUGAAGAAAGAAUUUGACUGCGAUUUGGACUAGUUUAUAAUUUAUUGCAAUACAAGUUGGUUGCAGUGAAGGAAUACAUUGACAAAAAAAUGGCUAAGAACUUCAUACACUAUUCAAAAUCUCCAACUUAUGCUCCUAUCUUAUUUAAGAAGAAGAAAGAUAGAUCAUUACAGAUGUGUAUAGACUAUUGAUGACUCAAUAAGAUCACUAUUAAGAAUAGGUAACUUUUACUUUUAAUUUUAAGAUUUCUUGAUUAAAUAAACUAAGUAAAAAUCUAUACAAAAAUUGAUCUAUAAGAGACAUAUAACUUGAUAUACAUCAAAGAAAAAGAUGAAUGGAAGACUAUGUUUUGAACCAAGUAUAGGCAUUUCCAACAUAAUGUCAUAUCUUUUGGACUUAUAAAUGCAUUAAUUACUUUUGAACAUCUAAUAAAUAAUAUUUUUUAAGAAUUUCUUCAUGAUUUUAUAAUAAUUAUGUAAACAACAUUUUAAUCUACUCUUAGAAUAUAAAAGAAUAUGAACUUCAUAUAUGUUGUAUAUUACAAAAAUUUAGAGAUGCAAGACUAUAUGCUAAGAUAAAAAAAAUGUAUAUUUCACACUACUCAAGUUAAUUUUUUAAGAUACAUCAUUUCAAAUAAUGGCCUCAUGAUGAAUCUUAAGAAAUUUCAGACUAUCUUGGAUUAGAAGACUUCAAAAAUAAUAAAAAAUAUCCAAUUUUUUUUGAGAUUUAUCAAUUAUUAUCUAAUCUUCAUCAAAUUUUUUUUAAGUAGUGGCUCCUCUUACACAUCUUACAUACAAAGAAAAACGUAAGUAGAGUAAAGACAUUGAAGCAUCUUUUAAAGCUUUAAAGACAACUUUUAUUUUUGCACCAAUUUUAUAUUGUGUCAACUUUUUCAAUACAUUAUUAUACAAAUAAAUACAUUAGACUUUGUUUCAAAACUAGUAUUUUCACAAAUAGGAAUACCUAAAAACUUCCAUCCUAUAGUUUUUUAUUCCAAAAAAAAUUCAGCAAUUGAAAUUAACUAUAAGAUUUAUAAUAAAGAAUUCCUUGCAAUUAUGGAUUCAUUUCAAAAAUGACAUCAUUAUCUAGAAGGCACUUUGAGUCCAAUCACUAUGUAUAUAAAUGAAAAAAAUCUUAAGUAUUUCAUAUCUAUUUGUAUUUUGAAUUGUUGUCAAGUAUGAUAGAGUAUGUCUUUAUUAAGAUUUGAUUUUAAAAUCACUUGUUGACUAAAAAAGCAAAAUAAUUUAUAAGAUGCUAUUUUUAGAUAUUUUUAUUUUAUAUCAAAAGAAAAAAAUAUAACUUUUGAUCAAUAAAGAAUGAUUUUCUUGAAGCAAAAAUAUUUUCAUCUUUCAAUAAUAAAAUCAACAUUGACUACUGAUUCAACCUUUCUCAAGUAAAUUUAAGUAAAUAUAUCAUUUGAUUUUCUUAUUUAUGAUAUUAAAAAUAAUUCUUCUAAUUCUUAUGUUACUAUUAAGUUUAAAUUUAAGAAUAAUCUAUUCAAUUUUAAAAUUACUUAUAUAUUAUAAAAAAUAAAGCAUAAUUAUGUGUUAUUCAAAUUCAUCACAAAUUUUUAAGAACCAAAUAUUUUAGAUAUAAUAAGACUUUGAAACUAAUAUCCAUAGAUUUUUAGUGGCUUCAAAUAUAGAAGGGAGGUAAAGACUUCGUGCAAUCAUAUGACAUUUAUUCAAGAUUAAAAACUCCUUGUUAUCAACCUUAUAGACUUCUUCAAACAUUACAUAUUUCAAAACAAUCAUAAUCUUCUAUUUCUAUAAAUUUUAUCAUGGAUCUUUUAAUCUCAGGUUCUUAUGAUUCUAUAUUUGUGAUAGUAGAUCAAUUCACUAAAAUGGCACAUUUUGUAUGAUAUAAUAAAUUAUUACAAGUAAAAAAAUAACUAAAUUUAUUCUUCACAAUAUUUAUUGCUACCAUGAAUUGCCAAAAGAUAUUAUAUUGGCUAGAGAGAUUUAAUUUGUAUUGAGAUUUUAGAUUUUUUUUUUUUAAGAUUUUAAAGAUAGAUAUAAAAUAAUCUUUGGCUUUUCAUCUUUAAAUUAAUAGAUAAAGAAAGCAAAUGAAUUAAGUUUUAGAGUAGUAUUGAGAUAUACCAUCAACUACAAAUAAGAUAAUUAGACAACUCUUUCACCAUUAGAAAAGAUUGCUUAUAAUAAUAUAAUAUAUUUUUCUAUGCAAUAAAUAUCUUUUUUUGCUAAUUAUGAUAAUCUAUUAUAACUUAUUAUUUUUGACUUUUCAAGAAGUUGAUAAUUAUGCAACACAAGAUUUGGCAAAUUGUUUAACUAAGCUACAUGCAACAAUGAAGGUACAAUUAAAAGAAGCUCAAGAAUGACAAAAGAUCAAUGCAAAUGCUUAUAACAAAGAACAAUCUCAAUUCCAUGUUGGCAAUGAAGUAUGAUUACUUCAUCCUAAUAUCAAGACUAUUUUCCCUUUUGAGAAGUUGGAUUAUUGUAGACUUGGAUUAUUUUUUAUAUAUAAAUAGAUUAAUCUAGUUUCUUAUUGAUUGCACCUAUUAGAGUUUAUAAAAAUUCAUCUUGUAUUCCAUAUAACUCUUCUUGAGCAAUACAAGAUAAAAGAUAUAUUAAAAAAAAGUUAGAUGCCAUCUCCUCAUAUAAAAGUAAAUAAUAACCAAGAAUAUGAUGUUGAAGAAAUCUUAGAUUGAAGAGAAUGGUAAAAUAGAUUAAAAUAUCUUAUUCAUUAGCAUGGAUAAGAUGUUAGUAAAGACAUAUGGAAGUCAGCCAAGAAUCUUACAAAUGUAAUAAAAAAAUAUUGAUGUUUUUCAUUAAUAACAUCCAUCCAAAUCAAGAUGAAGGUUUACAAAUUUUUACUAUAAAAGAAAUGUUGUUAAAAAAAUAUAUUCUACCAUCUAUUCUUGUUGUAAUUCUUAUGCAUUUGUGAUAUUAAAGAGAUGGAGAAUUAAAAACCAAUAGAUUCAAUUUAAGAGCUAUCGUUUGCUGAGUUAUCAAACAAGACAUUAUAACUUUUAUAAUCUUCAAGACGAUGCAAUAGAUAUGAAGAUCUUCAAGAAUGAUAUGUUCUUGAUUAAAUAGAUAGUAAAAUAUAACAUGUUUAUUAUCACGACCUUAGAAGCAACUUUUGAUACUUGGUAAUAUUAUUAAAAGUAUGAACCACCUCUGAUAAUAUUCCAAAUAUUUAUUUGAAUGAAUUUAUGAAGGCCUCAAUAAUGAUCAAAUAAUAUGGUGGUCUUUUUGUCCUAAUGUGGGACACUAUUGAUAGCUGAGAGGAUCUAUCAACUAUCUUCAAAAUGAACAAAGAUCAAAAUAUGUAGCAAACAUAACUUUUUGCAUGUUGGACUUCCUCAACAUAUGAUUGAUGCUCUUUAUAGACCAUGUUCCUAGAAAAAAAAAAAAUGUUACAGACAUACAUAUUUAUUUAAAUAAGAAGUAUUAGGUAGAAGGUAAAUAUAGGUAGAUUUGAUAUUAUCUUGUAAUUAACUUCUUAGAAGCUUGAUAGAUAUAUAUUUUAUUUUAGACUUAUCUGUGAUUAAUUGAUAGGUUAGAAACUUAGCCAACAAGUUAGCCAUAUAUCUCACAUACUAAUAGCUUGUGGAACAAGCUAAUUAUAUGGUACACAUGUAAAAAUCUUGUAUUAUAAGUUAGUCAUGUGCUGAAGGUUCUAUAAAACGUCAUCAUAUAACUCUUUAUUAAAUAAUAUAUAUGGAAGUAAGAGUGAAGCCUUCUUCACUCUUCUCAAUGCCUUUCUAGUAUUUAGUCUUUAGUCUUAUUUCAAAACUUUCUAAUCUUCUUGUCUUUGAUAAUAUUUAUUUUAUUUUAAUAUUAUAUUAUCUUUGAAUGAUUCUUUAAUCUUUUUGAAUGGCACAAGACUAUGUUAAUCUUUUAAUUCUUUGAAAUUCAUGUCUUUAAUACAUGAAAUUUCUCUACUUUAUUCAAGAAUUGGAUUUCAAAGGAAGUCCAUCCAAUCAUAGUGAUAUAUUUAAUUAAUUGGUGUAAGAAGUAUCUAGUUCAAUCUUAGAUGGUUUUGAAAGUUGGAUCCUUGCUAAUAUGCUCAAUGAAUAUUAAAUUGGUUGAUUUCUAUAGAAUAUUACUAUUAGCUUCAAUAGUUGAAGAUUUUAGUAUAAUUGAUAGGUAUUGAAAAAAGAUUGAAUAAUUAGGGUUAUCAAAACCUAAUUCUAUAGAGCUCACAUUUUAUUUUUAUUGAAACGAUACUAGUGUGUACAAAAUGGUGAUGUCUUAUGUAAUCAUGAGUAUGAAUUCCAAGAGUUCUUCUACAAUGCUCUUCUUAUAGCUCACUCUAAUGCAGGGAUUCUGUCUAAUAAAUUCCUUAAAUUUUUUUCUAUUUGUAUUGUAAGAUGUCUUACAUCUGUUCAAUCAACAUUCUUUGAUUAGAUAAUACCUUCUCUUUAAGCCUUUGAAUCUUUUUGUAUGUUUUUUGGACAAGUCCUGUUCUUAGAAGUAUUGGUGGUACUAAUAAAUUUCUUUUUGGAUUUGUUCCUAAAAUAUGAUAAAGUUUCAACUUUAAUUCUUCAACUCCAUUGUUGGCUGCUCUUGUAGAUUUGGUAAUUGGUUGGCUAUAAUUGUCACCUCAUGCAUAUCAACUUUAUAGCAAGUAUUGUUUCUAGUGCAUAUUUGUCUUUUCUAUGUUUGUUGAGUGAAUAGUGGUACAAUUCUUCUUAUGUAUUUAUGUUGUCUUUCUAUUAGACUAUAAUAGCUCUAAAAGUGACAUUUAAUUACUUAUGUGGUACAGUCAUGUCUAUCUAAAUUCUAUUGUUGCUUUAAAUAAUCUAAAGUAUGUUCUAUCAUAUUUCACUCAACUUGUGGAUUCAACUUUAAUGUUGUUGUUGUAAAGACAAAAGAUGUUUAUAUACUCUAAACUGGUUUAUUAAUCAUAAGAAACUCAAAGUUGCUAAAAAAAAUGCAUUAUUUAAAUCAUCUUGAUGCAUAGAUUCUUCUAAAUAAUGUUGAAUGCAUGAAAAUGCUCUACUAUCUAAAUUGUAUCUCCAUUGAAUGAUCUACCAACAUUCUGCCCUAAAUAGUUGUCACUCCACCACACUCAUUGUCAUUCACUCUGCUCCACCACACUCAUUGUCAUUCACUCUGCUCCACCACACUCAUUGUCAUUCACUCUGCUCCACCACACUCAUUGUCAUUCACUCUGCUCCACCCCACUAACCGGCUCUACCAACUAAGCUACAAACAUGGACCAUUAACUUUGAGUCUAUGUUGAAACACUUUCAAUCAAUCAUGACAAUAGAAGUUUAUAAUUUUUGAUGCUAGCAAUAUUCAUGAACUUUUUCAAAUUAACAAUUUACAAUUGCCAUUGCAGGAUUUGGAAAAGGUAUCAAGUGGAAGCGGGAAGUAAGACGGCAAAUGCAUGACCCCAGAGAGCGCUGCUGAUUAUUGUCCAGAACGUGUAUCAAUAAUACGUUGAUUGCCUUACUAGGAAAGUAUAGAAAUUGUUAUUAUACUUAACUGUAUAGUAGUCACAAAGCAUGUACAAUAGUAGCACCGUGCUCCUGUUUGGAAACAGAAUUCCAAGCGUGCAUUCGGAAGCAUAUCGGAUGCGUAGAAAGCAUCACUUACCAUGCAAAACAAAACUUUCAAGAGCAUACAGAAAUCCUUCUCAUUUAUUGCGAGUUUUUACGGGGUCCCAUUGUGAUUAUGACAGUACAGAAUUCCAAGCGUGCACUCGGCAGAAUAUUGGAUGCGUAGAAGGCAUCACUUACCAUGCGAAACAAGACUUUCAUCAAACAGAAUUCCUUUCCACAUUUGGCUUGGUGUUUUCGGGUCCAACUGGGAAAAGAUAGUUUGGACUCACGCGCGAGAACCUCAGGUGCAGAUAAAAUCUAUUCUCAAC
rnacentral:lncRNA from 1 species